rnacentral:rRNA from 1 species
AUUGAACGCUGGCGGCAUGCUUUACACAUGCAAGUCGAACGGUAACAGGGAGCUUGCUCCGCUGACGAGUGGCGAACGGGUGAGUAAUGCGUCGGAACGUGCCCAGUAGUGGGGGAUAACUGCUCGAAAGAGCAGCUAAUACCGCAUACGACCUGAGGGUGAAAGGGGGGGAUCGCAAGACCUCUCGCUAUUGGAGCGGCCGAUAUCAGAUUAGCUAGUUGGUGGGGUAAAGGCCUACCAAGGCAACGAUCUGUAGUUGGUCUGAGAGGACGACCAGCCACACUGGGACUGAGACACGGCCCAGACUCCUACGGGAGGCAGCAGUGGGGAAUUUUGGACAAUGGGCGCAAGCCUGAUCCAGCAAUGCCGCGUGCAGGAAGAAGGCCUUCGGGUUGUAAACUGCUUUUGUCAGGGAAGAAAUCCUCUAGGUUAAUACCCUUGGGGGGAUGACGGUACCUGAAGAAUAAGCACCGGCUAACUACGUGCCAGCAGCCGCAGUAACAC